AGGCGCCGAAUUUGGAAAGUACAUGUUUGUUUUUCUGUGAGAGCAGUUCCAUAUCUAAAAAUACUUCAGCUCCUUUAUUGACAGUUUUGUCAUAUUAGUUUAAUGUGUUUAAUCUGUCGCCGCUUAUUUUAUGGAAAUUUCAUUUUAGCAGGUUUUAAAAUAAAUAAAAGAAAUUGUGGUGUUAGCUAGCUAGCUAGCUUACUUGCUACACUGACAACAAAGUGCACUUGUGUUGACUCAGACGCUUGGCCAUGGCCGGUGUAAAUACACGCCAGGUCGCGCAGCAGCUCUGCGGAUUACAGUGAUGAUCAUUGUGGGAAGGUUACUGUCUCGGCUGGCAGCUCAGAGCCUUAUUAGUCGCUCGAUAUCCGUUAGUAUGAUGAGAAGAGCUCAGAUUAAGAAGGUGCUUUGCGUCGCUGAAAAGAACGAUGCAGCCAAAGGCAUCGCAGAGAUCAUGUCUAAUGGCAGAUCUAGAAGAAGAGAAGGGUACUCCGUGUAUAACAAGAUCUAUGAGUAUGAAUAUCAUCUUUUUGGACAAAAUGUUACAGUGUGCAUGACAUCUGUGUCCGGACACCUUUUAGGUCUCGAAUUCAAAGCUCCUUUUCAGAAAUGGCACAGCUGUAAUCCAGUCUUGCUGUUUGAUGCUGAGGUGGAAAAGUAUUGCCCUGAAAACUUUGUUCCAAUUAAGAGGACCUUGGAGAGAGAGGUCAGACAGUGCCAAGCUCUGGUCAUCUGGACUGAUUGUGAUCGUGAGGGAGAAAACAUAGGCUACGAGAUCAUUGAUGUCUGCAAAGCUGUCAAGCAGAACAUUCAGGUGUUCCGCGCUCGGUUCUCUGAGAUUACUCCUAGUUCCAUUAGGAGAGCCUGCGAGUCUCUAACCGAGCCAGACAUUAACGUCAGUGAUGCUGUGGACGUCAGGCAAGAGCUGGAUCUCCGCAUUGGAGCCGCGUUUACAAGGUUCCAGACUUUACGGUUACAAAAGAUCUUCCCAGAGUCUCUAUCUAAUCAGCUGAUCAGUUACGGGAGCUGUCAGUUUCCGACCCUGGGCUUUGUGGUGGAGAGGUUUAAAGCUAUUCAGGCGUUCAUCCCUGAGAACUUCUUUAAAAUUAAAGUGGUUCAUGAGCCUAACGAAGAGGAAUCUGUGGAAUUCAGUUGGAAAAGGCAUCGCCUGUUCAACCACACGGCUUGUCUUGUGCUUUACCAUAUGUGCAUGGAGGACCCCAUAGCAAGAGUGAUUUCUGUAACAAGUAAACCAAAAAGCAAAUGGCGUCCGUUACCCCUUGACACUGUGGAACUUGAAAAACUGUCUUCAAGGAAAUUGAAGAUAAGUGCGAAAGAGACCAUGAGAAUAGCUGAGAAACUGUACACACAAGGGUUUAUCAGUUACCCUCGUACUGAGACCAACAUGUUUCCGACAAACCUGAACUUGGUCCCACUUGUUGAGCAGCAGACUCAGGACCACGAAUGGGGGGCUUUUGCUCGAGGCAUUUUGGAAAGCGGUGGGCCGACACCUCGAAACGGAAACAAAUCGGACCAGGCCCAUCCUCCCAUUCACCCUACCAAAUACACAAAUAAUCUACAGGGAAAUGAGAAACGGCUGUACGAGUUUAUCGUACGUCACUUCCUGGCGUGUUGCUCCAAGGACGCACAGGGCCAGGAGGUGACUGUAGAAAUUGACAUUGCUGGAGAGAAAUUCUCUGCAAGUGGACUGACGAUUAUUGCUCGUAACUAUCUGGAAGUUUACCCGUUCGACAAGUGGUACAAUAAGGUUAUUCCAUUAUAUACACCUGAAACAACAUUCCAGCCAACCGCUAUUGAGAUGGUGGAAGGACAGACCAGCCCACCUCAGCUCCUCACCGAGGCUGACUUGAUUUCUCUAAUGGAGAAGCAUGGCAUCGGCACAGACGCAACGCACGCUGAACACAUCGAGACCAUCAAGAGCCGCAUGUACGUGGGCCUGACGGACGAUCAGAGGUUCCUUCCUGGAGAGCUUGGGAUGGGCCUCGUUGAAGGGUACAAUUCCAUGGGCUAUGAAAUGUCUAAGCCGAACCUGAGGGCAGAGCUGGAGGCGGACCUGAAGCUCGUGUCUGAAGGGCGGAAGGACAAGACGUCUGUCCUCAGACAUCAUGUGUCAAAAUACAAGACAGUUUUCAUAGAAUCUGUCAGGAAGGCGAAGAAGUUGGAUGAGGCUCUGUCAAACUAUUUAGGCCAGGCCCAAGAGUAUACAGAGCAAGAAGAACAGGAGUUAGAGAUGCCACUCCCGGUGCGGAAGUGUCCGCAGUGCGGCCGAGACAUGGUCCUGAAGAAGAAGAAGGACAGCGCGGGGAAGUUUCUGUCAUGCAUGGGCUACCCGAGCUGUAAGGCAGCAGUAUGGUUUCCAGACACGGUGCUGGAGGUCAGCAGAGAUGACAGCAUCUGUUCAACGUGUCGCCCACAUCCUGUCAACAUGCUGAAGUUCAAGUUCAAAAGGGGAAGUCUACCUCCAGGGAUGCCUCUUGAGUUUGUUGGGUGUAUUGGGGGCUGUGAUGAGACUCUGAGAGAGGUCUUGAAUUUGAAGUAUCUCCGUGGAGGAGGAGGAGAUUCCAGCACUCAGGUUAAUCCCAGUUCAGCAUCACGCCAGUCGACUCGUCCAGUAAUUGAUCCAGCACUUCAGUCCAGGUCUGAGAACAGACCACCACCACCUAACUCUACACCAGCAUGGUCCAUACAACCAUCACAUUCUAUCCAGAACAGUGUUGUGUGUAACUGUGGCCAGGAUGCACUUCUUCUCACCGUGCGUAAAGAGGGUCCCAACCAAGGUCGUCAGUUCUACAAGUGCAAUACGGGGAACUGUAAGUUCUUCCUGUGGGCCGAACAGCAGAACGACCAGCUUGGGUCAGCAGGGAGCAUCGGCUCAACAGGACAACUGGGCCCUAGCUGUCAACCUCCCAGACCUUCUCUUGGAUUUGGAAACACACCCCAGCAGAUGCAGGGCAGCAGAAGAUCAGGGGAAGGUGGAGAAGAGCGUAUGUGUAACUGUAAUGUACCUGCGGUCACGAGGACCGUCAUGAAAGAUGGGCCGAACAAGGGCAGAGCGUUCCUCACCUGUGGCAAACCCCGGGAUCAGCAAUGUGGCUUCUUUCAGUGGGUGGAUGAGAACGUUGCUCCUGCUGCUGUAGGGAAUGUGAGAGGAAACGGCAGUAAAUGGACUGCUAGUAAGAAGAACGAAGCCUCUUCAAGCAAAGCUGCUGCUCCUAAAAGGCCAAGGACUUGUGGGAUUUGCCGUCAGCCGGGCCACACGCGCAGCACCUGUCCUCAGGGCCAGUGAGACAGGAGCAAAUGGAGAUGAUUAUCUUUUUGCCUAUGUGGAAAAUUCCAGAUGGACUAAUGUGAGACACAUUGACUCCUCUGCUGAUCAAGACGAAUCCAUAUAAGCUAUCAAUAACCAUGAAUGAAGACUGCAAAUAUCAUUUUAACUGGAAAGAAAGAGCGGACGCAGAGAGAGGUGUGAGUGCAACGGGAAAGCAAGACCUCGCGCUUGCAGGACAGUACUGGAGACAUUUGGAAAGUUGCUAAGCCUGUGACCCGGAAAUCAAUCGAAGUGAGCCAUCUUGAAGGACAUAUCAAUUCUCUUAUUGCACCAUGAGGAGGUGAGGACCGAGGAGUGAGGAAGCUUCCAGAAGAGCUAGGAGCGAGGAUACACAGGUGUAUCCUAUGCGGAAGUGUUUCUUGUCGAAAAACCUGAGCACAUAUAAAUUCCCCUCCUCCUUUACAUCUGCCACAAUCUCAAACAGAAUGUCCUUUGAUCAUGUGAUGUGAUUUUGUGUGAAAUAUAAUUAAAUAAU